ACUUGUAUGCUUUCACAAUUGAUCUUUGUUUGGAACGAAAUUAUGAAACAACUUACCUUAACCUGCAAUUAAUUUAUAUUUGUUGUGUAACUAUUCACUCCAUAUCCUUCUUGAAGAUAUCUCUUUACUAAAAAUAGUAUAGUUGAUAUAGAGUUAAUUCAUAGUAAAGGUUAACCUUGAUCUCUUUCACCAUAUCAAUUUCAACAUGCAUCCUACCAUUUAAAUUUUCCAAUUUUAUUCUGAAAUUGGUAGGAUAGUGGCCUACCAUGGUGGUGACGGGUGACGAAGAAUUAGGGUUAGAUUCCGGAAAGGGAGCCUGAGAAACGGUACCACAUCCAAGAAAAGCAGCAGACACGCAAAUUGUCCAAUCAUGAUAUGGGGAGGUAGUGACAAUAAAUAACAAUAUCGGUUUCAUUGAGUUUGGUAAUUAGAAUUAGUACAAUCUAACACCCUUAACGAGGAUCGAUAUGAGGGCAAGUCUGGUGCUAGGAGCCACAGUAAUUCCUGCUUCAAUAGCGUAUAGU
rnacentral:ncRNA from 1 species